rnacentral:rRNA from 1 species
AUUGAACGCUGGCGGCAGGCCUAACACAUGCAAGUCGAGCGGCGCGGGGGACGCGCGAGUAAUGCCUAGGACUGUGCCUGGUACUGGUGGAUAACGUCCGGCAACGGGCGCUCAUGCCGCAUACUAUCAGAUUCGCCUGGGUCUGACUGGCUAGUGGGUGGGGUAAGGGCCUACCAAGGCGACGGUCCGUAACUGGUCUGAGAGGAUGAUCAGACACGCUGGAACUGAGACACGGUCCAGACUCCUACGGGAGGCAGCAGUGGGGAAUAUGGGACAAUGGGCGAAAGCCUGAUCCAGCCAUGCCGCGUGUGUGAAGAAGGUCUUCGGAUUGUAAAGUACUGUAAGUUGGGAGGCGUUACCAAAAGAAGAAGCAACGGCUAACUCCGUGCCAGCAGCCGCGGUAAUUC